ACGAACGCUGGCGGCGUGCUUAACGCAUGCAAGUCGAACGGAAAGGCCCUGCUUGCGGGGUCCUCGAGUGGCGAACGGGUGAGUAACACGUGGGUGAUCUGCCCUGCACUUCGGGAUAAGCCUGGGAAACUGGGUCUAAUACCGGAUAGGAGCCAUUUUUAGUGUGAUGGUUGGAAAGUUUUUUCGGUGUAGGAUGAGCUCGCGGCCUAUCAGCUUGUUGGUGGGGUAAUGGCCUACCAAGGCGGCGACGGGUAGCCGGCCUGAGAGGGUGGACGGCCACAUUGGGACUGAGAUACGGCCCCGACUCCUACGGGAGGCAGCAGUGGGGAAUAUUGCACAAUGGGCGCAAGCCUGAUGCAGCGACGCCGCGUGGGGGAGGACGGCCUUCGGGUUGUAAACUCCUUUCGCUAGGGACGAAGCUUUUUGUGACGGUACCUAGAUAAGAAGCACCGGCUAACUACGUG
rnacentral:rRNA from 1 species